GGGACGACGUCAAGUCAUCAUGCCCUUACGGCCAGGGCUACACACGUGCUACAUGGUCGGUACAAAGGGUUGCUACCUAGCGAUAGGAUGCUAAUCUCAAAAAGCCGAUCGUAGUCCGGAUUGGAGUCUGCAACUCGACUCCAUGAAGUCGGAAUCGCUAGUAAUCGCGGAUUAGAAUGCCGCGGUGAAUACGUUCCCGGGCCUUGUACUCACCGCCCGUCACACCAUGGGAGUUGAAUUCACCCGAAGCCGGAAUACUAAACUAGUUACCGACCACGGUGGGU
rnacentral:rRNA from 1 species